rnacentral:lncRNA from 1 species
UUAACUUUAAUAUCAAAAAUUCCAAAAUAGGGGGCUGGCCUGGUGGCAUAGCAGUUAAGUUCACGUGCUCAGCUUUGGCAGUGCAUGGUUCAUGGGUUUGGAUCCUGGGCUCAGACCUACACACUGCUCAUCAAGCCAUUCUGUGGCAGCGUCCCACUUAGAAAAUAGAGGAAGAUUGGUAUAGAGGUUAGCUCAGGAACACUCCUACUGAAGCAAAAAGAGGAAGAUUGGCAAUAGGUGUUGCCUCGGGGCCAAUCUUCCUCACACAAAAAAUUCCAAAAUAAUAGUCCAAGGUUGGCUAUGAAUCUGUUAUUUAAAAAGUGUGUAACUAAUGUGAAUGUGCUAUUUAAAAAGUAAAGUGUUUAAAAAGUGGGUAAAUUAGAAAUUGAAUAAUCAAACAUCUUUUUCAGUACCUUCCCUGUUUUAAUCAUCAGGCCAAAAUUACAGUAUUUUUGCACUGUAAGGUUAAAGUAUAACGUUAAUCUGAUGAGUAGUUCCUGGCUGAGCUGCCUGUGACACCUUGGAGCAGUGGUUCUUAACCUGUUAUGUUAGAGUAUCAUGAUCAGGAAUAUCAGCCCUGAGCUAACAUCUGCUGCCAAUCCUCCUCUUUUCACUGAAGAAGACUGGCCCUGAGCUAACAUCCAUGCCCAUCUUCCUCUACUUUAUACGUGGGAUGGCUACCACAGCAUGGUUUGCCAAGCGGUGCCAUGUCCGCACCUGGGAUCCGAACCCGCGAACCCUGGGCCACCUAAGCUGAAUGUGCGCACUUAACCGCUGCGCCACUGCACCGGCCUCUGGCAGGUUUAAUUAGUAGUUUUUCACAGAUCGCUUGCUCUGAGGGGAAGCCAGCCUCCAUGUUGUGAAGCUAUUUAAGUAGCCCUGUGGAGAAGAAAGGACACCCCCUGCCAAGAACCAGCAUCAUUUUACCUGCAAUGUGAGUGAGCCAUCUUGGAAUGCAUCCUCUAGCUCUCCCCAAGUCUGUGAUGACUGCAGCCCAGCCAACAUCUUGGUCGUGAUUUCAUGGGAGGCAGAACUGCUCAGUUAAGCCACUCCUGAAUUCCCAACCCACAGAAACCGUG